UGUGUGUUAGUGGAAGCGUCUGGAAAGGCGCGCGAUACAGGGUGACAGCCCCGUACACAAAAAUGCACAUGCUGUGAGCUCGAUGAGUAGGGCGGGACACGUGGUAUCCUGUCUGAAUAUGGGGGGACCAUCCUCCAAGGCUAAAUACUCCUGACUGACCGAUAGUGAACCAGUACCGUGAGGGAAAGGCGAAAAGAACCCCGGCGAGGGGAGUGAAAAAGAACCUGAAACCGUGUACGUACAAGCAGUGGGAGCACGCUUCGGCGUGUGACUGCGUACCUUUUGUAUAAUGGGUCAGCGACUUAUAUUCUGUAGCAAGGUUAACCGAAUAGGGGAGCCGAAGGGAAACCGAGUCUUAACUGGGCGUUAAGUUGCAGGGUAUAGACCCGAAACCCGGUGAUCUAGCCAUGGGCAGGUUGAAGGUUGGGUAACACUAACUGGAGGACCGAACCGACUAAUGUUGAAAAAUUAGCGGAUGACUUGUGGCUGGGGGUGAAAGGCCAAUCAAACCGGGAGAUAGCUGGUUCUCCCCGAAAGCUAUUUAGGUAGCGCCUCGUGAAUUCAUCUCCGGGGGUAGAGCACUGUUUCGGCAAGGGGGUCAUCCCGACUUACCAACCCGAUGCAAACUGCGAAUACCGGAGAAUGUUAUCACGGGAGACACACGGCGGGUGCUAACGUCCGUCGUGAAGAGGGAAACAACCCAGACCGCCAGCUAAGGUCCCAAAGUCAUGGUUAAGUGGGAAACGAUGUGGGAAGGCCCAGACAGCCAGGAUGUUGGCUUAGAAGCAGCCAUCAUUUAAAGAAAGCGUAAUAGCUCACUGGUCGAGUCGGCCUGCGCGGAAGAUGUAACGGGGCUAAACCAUGCACCGAAGCUGCGGCAGCGACACUGUGUGUUGUUGGGUAGGGGAGCGUUCUGUAAGCCUGCGAAGGUGGCCUGUGAGGGUUGCUGGAGGUAUCAGAAGUGCGAAUGCUGACAUAAGUAACGAUAAAGCGGGUGAAAAGCCCGCUCGCCGGAAGACCAAGGGUUCCUGUCCAACGUUAAUCGGGGCAGGGUGAGUCGACCCCUAAGGCGAGGCCGAAAGGCGUAGUCGAUG
rnacentral:rRNA from 1 species